rnacentral:rRNA from 1 species
GACGAACGCUGGCGGCGUGCUUAACACAUGCAAGUCGAACGGAAAGGCCCUGCUUUUGUGGGGUGCUCGAGUGGCGAACGGGUGAGUAACACGUGAGUAACCUGCCCUUGACUUUGGGAUAACUUCAUGAAACUGGGGCUAAUACCGGCUAGGAGCUCCUGCUGCAUGGUGGGGGUUGGAAAGUUUCGGCGGUUGGGGAUGGACUCGCGGCUUAUCAGCUUGUUGGUGGGGUAGUGGCUUACCAAGGCUUUGACGGGUAGCCGGCCUGAGAGGGUGACCGGCCACAUUGGGACUGAGAUACGGCCCAGACUACUACGGGAGGCAGCAGUGGGGAAUAUUGCACAAUGGGCGGAAGCCUGAUGCAGCAACGCCGCGUGCGGGAUGACGGCCUUCGGGUUGUAAACCGCUUUCGCCUGUGACGAAGCGUGAGUGACGGUAAUGGGUAAAGAAGCACCGGCUAACUACGUG